UGAGGGUGAGAAAAGCCCCUGUUUAAAUGAGGGGAAAACCGUGUGGAUUAAGCCUGUUCAUUUUUUUAACUUAAAUGGAACAGUAAUAUAAUGAAGAAAUACUUUGCCAAGAAUAACCUGGUACAGUCACCAAGGUAUAUUUCGGUCACAGAACGUGACUGGGGUUCAGGCUCACGAUGCCUGCUUCUGAUUUACGGAAGCACGUGCCGCAC
rnacentral:lncRNA from 1 species